UCAAUGGCACAGCUAAAGAACUUGUUGAACCUCGAAGCUUUUUCCAACUCCGAAGCGCUUUUAAAAGUAAGAGUCAACACAUUCAAAUAUUUUAAAUGCUCCAUUUCCUCUAAAACCAAUAUACAUCCAUAGCCACAUCCCUCCAUUUUCAGUACUUGCAACUUGGAGAAACUGGAUAUCAAUUGUUGUGGGAUCAUUUUUAGAUCCUCUGUCCAGUUCAGAUUCAAAUAUUUCAGCUUUGCUAGGGCCUUCAAUUCGACUGGCAACUUUUUAAUUCCUGUCCCUGACAAAUUGAGAUGUUCUAGUGAAACCAACUUUGCAAUUCCUACUGGCAAUUCUUCCAAAUUCCUAUUACUAGACAAGUCCAGAACCCUUAGCAUCGGCAUGAAAUUAAAGAAAUCAUCCAUGAUUACCUUCAAAUCAUUCCUGCCAAGAAACAAAGUUUGGAGAUUGGGACAUUCCAAUAUCUCAGUUAGAUUUUCAAUUUGAUUCUCCAUCAGCGACAUUCUUGUUACCUCUUCCCACUUUUUAGCUUUCGGUUGUUCCUUUAACUGAACACCUGAUUUUACAAAAAACCUCUCGUUCUCAGAUUCACCAGCAAUCCACAAAGCCAUGUCGCGAAUCACAUCGUGCAUCUUUACCCUAUCAUUAUAUUGUCCUUUCUCCAAUAAGCAUGCGUCAAUAAGAGAACCUAUAAUGAAAUGUCCCUGGUUUCUGGCAUUGCUCAAAUUGGUAUGCUCGUCCAAAAGUCCUUCCCCGAUCCAACAAUCUACUAGUUCGUCUUUUUGGAUGAGAUCAUCUUCUGGAUAUAAAGAACAAUACAAGAAACAAGAUCUGAACCUUUCAUCAGGUAAACAGUCAUAACUGAAUUUUAACUUGGGAUACAUCUCUUUCCCUACCCCUGGCAACACAGAGGCUGCUGAUUGCCUUAAAACUUCUGUAGCAUAUUCCCAUUCUCGAGGGGUCUUCUUGGAUGCCAUGGCUCGUCCAAUUGUAAUGAGAGCGAGAGGUAGCCCUGCACACUCUUCAACCACCGCUUCAGCUAACUUGCAAAUAUCUGGAUGCAUUCGAAGGGUUUCUGAUCCAACCUUCUCCUCGAACAGUUUGAAAGCUUCUCCUGGUGGUAAACAUUCCACUCUGAUAUUAUUAUCCAUGUUCGGUUGCAUUUGACAGCACACGUCAAGACGACGAGUUGUGAAAAUGACUCUAGAGCCAUUUCCUUGUGUUGGAAGAGGCACCCCAGCUCUUGUGAGAUCAAACCAUUCCCAUAUAUCAUCCAACAACAAUGCAAACUUCUUUCUACAUAAUACGUUGAAGAUAUCUUCAGCUUUCUCAUCACGGCUCUUAGAUUCCCAACCUUCAUUGGGAAGGCCUAUUCUUUUGGCAAUCUGAUUCUGGACUUUUUCAAUUGGCCGAUCUUGAGAUGCAACUGCCCAAAUGACAUGGUAAUCAUGGGUAGUAUCAUGGAACUUGUUAUUGAUUUGGUUUAGAAGGGUUGUCUUGCCAACCCCUCCUAAGCCAUAUAUGCCAAUAAUUCCCACUUGUUCCUUUUGAAGACAGCUCCAAACCUGAUUUACAUAGGACUCUAAACACACAGUUGGAUCAGAAGGUCGUUUAUUUGCGGAAGGAAUUGGUGGCUUGCAGGCCACAUCACUGAAAUCUCCAUUCUCCUUCAGGCCUUUCACCUCUUGGAGUAUUGUGGCGAUUUGCUUCCCGAACUUGUGGGUGGACCUGGGAUGCCUGGAACAACAACCUCCCAUACAUAACUUUUCAACAUACUGAGGACUUUGGACAGUCAGUUUAUCAGCAUCGGUUAUCACACGAUCAGCCCUCUGAAGCCAAAGAUCAACUUGGGGUAGCCUCUUAAGUUGCUUCUCAUCUUCAGCGACCCUGACCCUGCUCAUCAGAUCCCUCCUGGUCGCCUUCAAAUCUUCCACUUCAGUUUUUAAAGCAGGGAGGUUUUCUUCAAGUUUGCAUAGAAAAGCAGAAUCCCAGCAACGGGUAAUGAUGGUAUCGAGUGAAAGUGAGAUUGAGAAGAUAUUACCCAUACCUGUUUUUGAUUUUAGAAGAGUGAGCUGAACAAUUUCUGGAAAUAGAAGCAAGGAAUAAAUCAAAGAUGCUUAUAGAGCUAUAUGAAAGAUUGAGAAUAUUUUGGUAAACAAAAACAAAGAGAGAAAAUUCGCAGGUAAAGAAAGACAAACCGUUGGAAGUUCACAUGUAUUUUGGUACCAAAAAAUAAUUAAAAUAUAAAAUAAUCAAAGAUGUUUAAAAUUUUACAUAAAUAUUUACAAAGUGUUUAAAUUAUGCUAAAAAUAUAUUACAAUUUGUUAAUUAAAAAUGUAUAUAAAUUUAAAACUAUACAAAAUUAAAAUUAAGUUACUAUGUUUUUAAAAAAUUAAAUUAAAUUACAUUUAUAAAUAUUUUUUCCAUAACUGUUUUAAAUUAAAAAAAACUAUAUAUACAAGUAUUUAAAAUACUAAAAAUAAUUAUAUAUUGUAUUAAAUUUAAGUGGUUUUAUAUUUUAUUUAAUUAAAAAUUUUGCUUCUAAAAUUUUAAAGUUAAUAUUUAUUGAAAUGCUUAAUAUAUCAUUUGAUACUUAAAGUUUAAUAAUUUUUUUUUAAUGUGGUACUUGUAUUUUAGAAAAGGUAUAAAUUUUGAUACCUAAAGAUUAUAAUAUUAUAAAGUUUGAAGUUUUUUAUGAUUUUGUUAAUAGAAUGAAUAUUUUAGUGGUAUGAUCCAAUAAAGGAAUUCACAGGUUGAACCAACAUCUCUCUUUCUCUUUCUAGGGUUCCACUUUCUUUGGUAGCUUUGGGCAGGGCAUUAUGGGUGGACAGUAUGUCCAAUUUGGCAUGCUGAUAUUUAUUUAUGACAGAUGAAAGGAAAUUCUUGUCUUUUGUGUGGAAACCAUUCCCCUCAUUGGCAACUUGCAAUCAACCAGUGAAUCUGCAAUUUUAAAACCUGAAUUUUAUUCUAAAGUCUGAAUUCCAGUUUGGCAUGCUGAGAGUAUGACAGAUGAAAGGAAAUUCUUGUCUUUUGUGUGGAAACCACUCCCCUCAUUGGCAACUUGCAUUAUUGAGGAGAACUAAAAUCCCAUCAAAAAAAGAAAAAGGAAUACUAAUAGCAGCAUGUGUAAGAUGUUAGGUAGUAACAUUUAACAUUACUCUGCCACCUUCCUAGCAAUUCAUCAGCAAAUGAAAUCCCUGUUCUAGGAAUGUAAAGAGAAGUAAAGAACUAAAGCACCUAUAGCCUUUGACUUUUUUCUUAUCCAAAUGGAAGCUAGAGUUCCAAAAAAAGCUUUGCUCAUUUACUGAUAGGACUGAAUCAGUAGCAUUCAUACUAGCACCAUUAUUGCCACUUAAACAAUGAUCAGAAAAGGAAACACAAGAGACAGCAUUGGAAGAUGAAGACAACUAAAUCCAAGACCAUAUGUUUAAUGAUACAUAUAUGACAAUAAAAUCCUACUUGUUAUUUGAAUAACUAUCGUUAUUUGACAACAAAAUAGACAGCAUUUGUAGUUUACCGAGGUAUGAAGAAAAGGAGAAAAGCAAUUUGAGUGGAUUCAUUUUCUCAUUCUACAUUUUUCCACCACUACUCAUCUUCUAAAAUGAUGAGCGUUUGCCCUUUUGCAGUAUCGGAGUUUAGUGGGAGCUUCUUCAGCAUUGGGCAUUCUACAAUUGAUAUUUCCUUCAGCUGUGCGAAAGGCAGAGCAUGGCAGUAUAAUGUCAAGGUUGGAAGAAUUUGAGAAAGAAGAAGUUCAGCUAAAGAUGAGUUGAGUAAAGCUGCUGAAAGUGAUGGUGAUGAAGAUGAGCUGACUAAAGCUGGUUUUCAUAGAAAAAAAAAGAUGAAGGUUACAGUUAUCUUGAUCAUGGUCAAAGAUAUUGAGAGGUAAUGUUGGGACUUGGUGCUUUUUACUUGUUAAUACAAAUGUAUGUUGAAUGUGUCACUUAUGAAAUAGGUGUAUGAGUCUGAGUGAAGGAAACAACAACAGCAGUCCGAAGGCAAAGAACCAAUUGAAGAGAUGUCCAAUAAAUAUAAGCAUCAGGAUUUAACUAAUCAGUUUGCUGUAAGUGAUUAAAUCUUUGCAUGCCUUCUUUGUCUUGUGGCCUUUCUUUGAUAAUCCUUCUAACUUAUUGAUAAAUGAAGCCUGAAGUCUGUAUAUUAGAAAUGCAGUCUACUGGAUUGACAGAGGAACCUGUUACCAAAGGUAACUACGAUGGUUAUGUUUCUGACUUAUGGCAUGUGGUCCGAAGAAGGGGAAAGAAAUUCUGUUAUCUACUGAUAGAUGUGAAUAUCAUUUCGUGUUUGAUUUAUAGAUGAGACAAUUCCUUUGUUUUAUCUUACCAGGUGAAAUUUCACAUGGUCGAAUUAUACAACAAGACACAAAGACUUCAAGUCCUUCCAUAAAUGCAUCUGCUCCUUUCCAAAAGGUAAUCUUUGGGAGAAGCUAAAAUAGAGAAAACCAACAUGAUAUACUCUCAAAUUCAAACAUUUUAUUAUAAAUUGCAUGUAAUUUAAAGAUAUGCAAAAUAGAACUUACAGAGAGGUAUGCAAUGAUACAAUAAUGGCUUUAAGCCUUAAUUAAUAUCCAACAUUUCAUAGAUUAUUGAGGUUUGAAAGAGGGGAGAAAAGCAGUUCGAGUGGAUUCAUCCUCCCAUUCUACAUCUUUCCACCACCCCUUCUCUCCUUUAAUGAUGAGCCUCUGUCCUUUUGCACUAUUGGAGUUUAGUGGGAGCUUCUUCAGCAUUGGGCAUUUUACAAUUGAUAUUUUCUUCAGUUGUGGGAAAGGCAGAGCAUGGUAGUAUAUUGUCUUCAUUUUAGGCAGACACAUAGAUCCAACUCCUCGAGCCUAGAAAAUAAGUUUGUAUUUGCCUUCGACUCAGUGACUUCAUCAAGUUUUUCCUCACUAAUAAUUUCUUCUAAACUGUUACAACCACGUAUAAGUAGUUUUUCCAAAUGUGGAGCAAAAAUUACCCAACUCACAUCCCUCAUUUGUUUGCAAUAGGUUAGGCCUACAUACCGAAGGCUAUGGAAGUAUCUUGCACCUUCAACUAUGUUGCUUUCCAUCUUCACUUCUUUCAGGUCCAUACAAUUCGUACAUUUUAUAAAAUAUAGGUUCUGCAGAUUUCCUAAAGCCAAAAUAUUCAGUGACCUUGAAUCUCUGAAAUCUAGAAGGCUUACAUGUUCAAUGGCACAGCUACAGAACUUGUUGAACCUCGAAGCUUUUUCCAACUCCGAAGCGCUUGUAAAAGUAAGUCAACACAUUCAAAUAUUUUAAAUGCUCCAGUUCCUCCAAAAGCAAUGAACAUCCAUAGCCACAUCUCAUCAUUUUCAGUACUUGCAACUUAGAGAAACUGGAUAUAAGUUGUUGUGGGAUCAUUUCUAGAUCGCGUGUCCACUCUAGAUUCAAAUAUUUCAGCUUUUCCAGGGCCUUCAAUUCCACCGACAACUUUCUUAUUUUUGUGAAUGACAGGUUGAGAUGUUCUAGUGAAACCAACUUUGCAAUUCCUACCGGCAAUUCUUCCAAAUUUGUAUUGUCGGACAAGUCUAGAACCCUUAGCAUCGGCAUAGAAUUAAAUAAAUCAUCCAUGAUUACCUUCAAAUCAUUGCUGCUAAGAAAAAAAGUUUGGAGAUUGGGACAUUCCAAUAUCUCAGUUAGAUUUUCAAUUUGAUUAUCCAUCUGCGACAUUCUUGUUAUCUCUUCCCAUUUUUCAGCUUCCGGUAGUUCCUUUAACUGAACACCUGAUUUUACCAAAAAUUUCUCCUUCUCAAAUUCACCAACAAUCCACAAAGCCAUGUCGCGAACCAUAUCGUGCAUCCUUACACGAUCACUAAAACGUGCUUUCUCCAAUAAGCAUGCCUCAAUAAGAGAACCUAUAAUGAAACGUCCCUGGUUUCUUGCAGUGCUUAAAUCAGUAUGCUCGUCCAUAAAUCCUUCCCUGAUCCAACAAUGUAUUAGUUCAUCUAUUUGGAUUGGAUGAUCUUCUGGAUAUAAAGAACAACACAAGAAACAAGAUUUGACUCUUUCACUCGUUAAACUGUCAUAACUGAAUUUUAACUUGGGAUACAUCUCUUUCCCUACCCCUGGGAACACAGAAGCAGCUGAUUGCCUUAAAACUUCAAUAGCAUAUUCCCAUCCUGGAGGGGUCUUCUUGGAUGCCAUGGCUCGCCCAAUUGUAAUGAGAGCGAGAGGUAGUCCUGCACACUCUUCAACCACCGCUUUAGCUAACUUGCGAAUAUCUGGAUGCAUUUGAAGGGUUUCUGACCCAAACUUCUCCUCGAACAGCUUCAAAGCUUUUCCUGGUGGUAAACAUUCCACUUUGAUAUUAUUAGCCAUGUUCGGAUGCAUUUGACAGCACACGUCACGACUACGAGUUGUGAAAAUGACUUUAGAGCCAUUUUGUUGUGUUGGAAGAGGUACCCCAGCUCCUGUGAGAUCAAAUCGUUCCCAUAAAUCAUCCAACAACAAUGCUGUUGGAUUUAGUGCAACAAGCAGCAAGGUUCAGCAAUGAAACUUGCUCAGCAAGAAUCAUGACUUGCAGGAGAAACAAAACAGAAAUUUAAAGCAAAGCUAAAAAGAGAGCAUAUGGAUGAAAACUUGGAUUGAAUUCAUUCAAAAAAACUGAAAAUGGCAUGAAGCCAAUACAUAAAACAAGCUUACAACUUGACAAAACAGUAGGUUAACCUAAUCACAACCUACUACCACUAAGUAACAUACCUACUACCACUAAUUAACUUGUACAAAUUAACAAAGCUGAUUUAUCAGCUCAAUCACCAUCAAUUUUACAUCAAACAUAAACCUAACAUAGUUGAAAUACAACUAAGUUACAUUACAUCAACUUAAAAUACAAAAGAAAAACAAAAACAUGCUUGCUAGCUUGAUGAACUAGCAGCUUCUGCAUGUGAUGGCCUCGACUGUUUUGGUUGCUGCAUGUUGACCAUGCUUCAACACUCCUCCUUGGUUAGCAUGUUGCAAACUCUCAUCUUAGCUCUCAAAUGUUGAAACUUUGAAACACUGAGUGCCUUUGUCAAAAUAUCAGUUGUUUGCUCUUCAGAACUGCAAUGAACCAAUUUAAUAACAUGAGCUUGCUCCAUUUCUCGAACAGCAUGGAGCUUAAUAUUGAAAUGCUUGGUCCUCCCAUGAAAAACAGGAUUCUUUGCAAUUGCAACAGCAGAUUGGUUAUCACACAUUAUCUCUGUUGCUUCAUUUUGCUCAUGGUUGAUGUCUGCUAAAAUUUUUCUAAGCCAUAUGGGUUGAUUGACUGCUGCAGCAGCAGCCACAUAUUCUGCCUCUGCAGUCGACUGAGCCACAACUUCUUGCUUCUUUGAGCUCCAGCAGAUCAUAGCAGAGCCUAGGUUGAAUGCAUAACCUGAAGUGCUUUUCAUGUCAUUUAAUGAACCAGCCUAAUCACUGUCACAAUAACCAACCAGCUUCAAAUUCGCUGCCUUGGUGUACAACAUUCCAUAGGACAAGGUUCCUUUGAUGUAUCUUAGGACUCUUUUUGCAGCUCUAAAGUGACUCUCAUUUGAACAAUGCAUGAACCUCGAGAGUAAACUCACAGCAUACAUUAUGUCAGGUCUAGUAGCAGUCAAAUAUAGCAAACAUCCAACUAGACUUCGAUAGGUUGUUUCACAAACCUUUUCAUACUUAUCUUGGCUCGAGAGCUUUUCUCCAACAGCAAGUAGUGUGCUGGUUGCUUUGCAUUUCUCCAUUGAGAAUUUGUUGAGAACCUUCAUAGCAAAUGUCUUUUGACUUAGCCAAAUUCCAGUUUCAGCUUGAGUUACUUCCAAGCCUAAGAAAUAAGACAUCAUUCUCAAGUCAGACAUCUCAAAGUGCUGUUGCAUUUUGGCUUUAAAGCUGAUUAUCAUCUCUCGAUCUCCUCCUGUCACCAAUAAGUCAUCGACAUAUAUUGACACAAUGAGCUGAAUUUCAACACUGGUCGAUUUAACAUAGAGAGUUGGCUCACUGAGACUCCUUUCGAAUCCCAUACUAAUCAAAUAACCAUCUAUUCUGCUAUAUCAGGCCCUUGGUGCCUGUUUCAAGCCAUACAAGGCUUUGUUGAGCUUGUUCACCAUCUCUUCCUUGCCAGACACCUUGAAACCUUGAGGUUGCUCCACAUAAAUUGUGCUGCUAAGGCAACUAGCAGUCUUAUGGUAUCGAGCCUAGCCACAGGUGCAAAAGUCUCCUGGUAAUCUGAUCCAUAUCUUUGACUGAAGCCUUUGACAACCAAUCUAGCCUUUAACUUAUUCAAGCUUCCAUCAGCAUUGUUUUUAACUCGAUAGACCUAUUUGACACCAAUAAUCUUCCUGUUUGCUGGUCUUUCAACUAGACUCCAAGUUUCAUUCUUCUCAAUCAUUCUGAUUUCAUCAGUCAUAGCUUGCUUCCAGCCUCGAUGACCUUCAGCUUCUUCAAAACAACUUGGUUCAGCAAUGGCCACUUGUGUCAUUUCAUAAACAUCAGCCAUUGAUCGAGUCCCUCUGACUGGUUCAUCAUCUACAUCCAUUUCAGAUGUGUUUUGAUCAUUCUCAGCUUGAUCCAAUGCAAGAUCUUCAGUUGCUGCCUCUGGUUCAUCUUUCUCCCAGUUCCAGCAUCCUUUUUCAUUGAACAUGACAUCUCUGCUUACAAGUAUCUCUUUUGUGGAUGGAUCAAGGAUUCUAUAGCCCUUUUUAACUGUGCUAUAGCCAAUUACAAUUCCUGCUUGAGCCCUUUUAUCCAGCUUGCUCCUCUUUACAACUGGAACUUGUGCAUUGAUGUAACUCGUCCAAGUUUAGCUUAAACAUCCAGGCUGAGAUUGAGAUGUUACACAUCACUUGACAAAAGAACAUGAAAUCGAGAUAUUUAUUGGACAAUUGUCGAGGACUUUCGACAACUUGGAUCAAGGAAUGCUCUAUUGGUCAACUGUACCGUUACCCAUCCAUAACUCCCUCGAGGAGACUUACACCCAAUAGUUCAUAAUACAGUUGAAUGUAAAUGAAAAGGUAAUUGAGUAAAACAAAGAACCAAGCUGCACGUAAUUUAGGGACAGGAAAAAUAAAACUUACAAUGAGGUAUGUUAUAAUACAAUCAGGGCUUUCAACCUUAAUUAAUAUCCAGCAUUUCGUAGAUUACCGAGGUUUAAAAGAGGGUAGAAAAGUAAUUCGAGUGGAUUCAUCCUCCCAUUCUACAUCUUUCCACCAUCCCUCCUUUCCUUCAAUGACGAGCCUUUGUCCUUUUGCACUAUUGAAGUUCAAAGGGAGCUUCUUCAAUAUUUGGCAUUCUCGAAUUCUGAUUUCCUCCAGUUGCGGGAAAGGCAGAGCAUGGCGGUAUAUUGUCUUCAUUUUUGGCAAAUAAUAUAGAUAAAAAGCCUCAAGCUUAGAAAAUAAGUUUGUAUUUGCCUUGGACUUAGUGACUUCACCAAGUUUUUCUUCACUAAUAAUUUCUUCUAAACUUUUGCAAUUAAUUAUCAUUAAUACUUCCAAUUGUGGAGCAAAAACUAGCCAACUUGCAUCCCUCAAUUGAUUGCAGUCGAACAGAAAUACAAACCCAAGGCUCUGGAAGCAUCCUGCACCUUCAAUUAUGUUACAUUCGAUCUUCACUUCUUGUAGAUCCUCAAGUGAUAAACUCUGCAGAUGCUGCACAUUUGUUAAAUCCAAAAUAUUCAAUGAUCUUGAAUCUCUGAAAUGUUUAAGGGUUGCACGUUCAAUGGCACGGCUAAAGAACUUGUUGAACCCCAAAGUUUUUUCCAACUCUGAAGCGCUUCUAAAAGUAAGAGUCAACACAUUCAAAUAUUUUAAAUGCUCCAUUUCCUCCAAAACCAAUGAACAUCCAUAGCCACAUCCCUCCAUUUUCAGUACUUGCAGCUUAGAGAAACUAGAUAUAAGUUGUUGUGGGAUCAUUUCUAGAUGGACUGUCACCUCCAGAUUCAAAUAUUUCAGCUUUUUUAGGGCCUUCAAUUCGGCUGGCAGCUUUCUUAUUCCUGAAAAUGACAGAUUGAGAUGUUCUAGUGAAACCAACUUUGCAACUCCAACUGACAAUUCUUCCAAAUGCUAUUGUAGGACAGGUCUAGAACCCUUAGCAUCGGCAUGAAAUUAAAGAAAUCAUUGAUGAUCACCCUCAAACGAUUCCUCCCAAGAAAUAAAGUUUGGAGAUUGGGGCAUCCUAAUAUCUCAGUCAGAUUUUCAAUUUGAUUAUCCAUCAACGACAUUCUUAUAACCUCUUCCCACUUAUCAGCUUCCGGUAGUUCCUUUAACUGAACACCUGAUUUUACAAAAAAUUUCUUAGAUUCACCACCAAUCCACAAAGCCAUGUCACGAAUCACAUCGUGCAUCUUUACACCAUUAUUAUUAGGCCCUUUCUCCAAUAAGCAUGCCUCAAGAAGCGAACCUACAAUGAAAUGUCCCUGGUUUCUGGCAUUGCUCAAAUUGGUAUGUUUGUCCAAAAUUCCAUCCCCGAUCCAACAAUGUAUUAGUUCAUCUUUUUGGAUGAGUUCAUCUUCUGGAUAUAAAGAACAAUACAAGAAACAAGAUUUCACUUUUUCAUCAGCUAAACAGUCAUAACUGAAUUUUAACUUGGGAUACAUCUCUUUCCCUACCCUUGGGAAAGCAGAAGCUGCUGAUUGCCUUAAAGCUUCAAUAGCAUAUUCCCAUUCUCGAGGGGUCUUCUUGGAUGCCAUCGCUCGCCCAAUUGUAAUGAGAGCGAGAGGUAGUCUUGCACACUCUUCAACCACCGCUUCAGCUAACUUGCAAAUAUCUGGAUGCAUUUGAAGGGUUUCUGAUCCAACCUUCUCCUUGAACAGUUUGAAAGCUUCUCCUGGUGGUAAACAUUCCACUCUGAUAUUAUUAUCCAUGUUCGGUUGCAUUUGACAGCACACGUCAAGACGACGAGUUGUGAAAAUGACUUUAGAGCCAUUUUCUUGUGUUGGAAGAGGUACCCCAGCUCUUGUGAGAUCAAACCAUUCCCAUAUAUCAUCCAACAACAAUGCAAACUUCUUUUUAUAUAAUACCUUGAAGAUGUCUUCAGCUUUC
rnacentral:lncRNA from 1 species